rfam:Lepisosteus oculatus linkage group LG17, whole genome shotgun sequence.
UCCCAAGUAGCUCUGUUGGUUGAGCACGAGACUCAUAAUCUCAGGGUAGUGGGUUUGUGUCCCACAUCGGGUG